rnacentral:rRNA from 1 species
CAGUAGCCGCGGUAAUCCGAAGGGGGCUAGCGUUGUUCGGAUUUACUGGGCGUAAAGGGCGCGUAGGCGGGCGAAUAAGUCAGGGGUGAAAUCCCAAGGCUCAACCUUGGAACUGCCUUUGAUACUGUUUGUCUUGAGUUCGAGAGAGGUAAGUGGAACUGCGAGUGUAGAGGUGAAAUUCGUAGAUACUCGCAAGAACACCAGUGGCGAAGGCGGCUUACUGGCUCGAAACUGACGCUGAGGCGCGAAAGCGUGGGGAGCAAACAGGAUUAGAUACCCCCGUAGUCCCUGUCUCUUAUAC